rnacentral:lncRNA from 1 species
GCGGCCCAAGCACGUGCCCAUGCGGUGCACGCACAGUCUACCACACGCCCGUGGGUGGAAUCGCGGUCCAUGCAUCACAUGUGAACUACCACAAUCCAGAUGGAAUUUGCCGUGGCUCACGUGCGCAUGAUGCGCGACACACGGCAUGCAUGGAGAGUUCUCGAUUCAUGCGACAGUGGUCUACGUGUAGUCUACAGGAGCAUUUUGCAUGAUCAGAUGGCCAUGGACAAGUGUGGAAG